UUUGCUUUUAAACGGGUCAUUAAACAAAGGGCGUAAGCCUGUAUCAAGAACUAAUCCUCCAUGAUCCUGAACUACAGUUUCCAAUGCACUUCGGUCAUAGGCAUCCUCAUGCACGGGACCGCUGAAUGCAAACACGCAAUCGUCAAAGAUGAGCUGAUUACUUUCUGAAUCCAAGUUCUUCUUGACAAAGGAAGAAUCCCUUUCUUUCAAAGAAGAGCGGUUUCUCUGAGAAUCAUGUGAAGGAAGAAAUGAUGUUUCCUCAAACUUCAUAUCUUUUAAAGUAGAAAAACUGAGGUCUCUUCCUUGAAACCGCCGAAUGUUCACAGGAGCAACAUAAAUAGUAGAAAUGGGAACCGUAACCUCAAUUUCUCCGUGUGCCAAAAUAACCAUGUCGUUGUUUAGAGCGUCCACUGCUAUAAGGGAUAAUUGCUCAUUAGUAGAUCGAAAUGUUUUCACAACAGUAUGCUUGAUUUUUCCUAAUCUUGUGGAUUGUACAACGUCUCCUUUUUUCAAAAAAAAUCUCUUAAUUUGAUUUGAAUUAACCGUGCUCAUAGUUGCAUCAUCAAAUUGAACCUUAUACAUGAUGGAACUUGUUACGGCUGAAUGUACGGGUGCGACAAGAGUUGCUGGGUAGUAAAAAGAGGGAUAUCCUUUAAAAAAAGCGAGUACACGGUUUUUAAAAGACCUUCUUGAAUUCGGUGAUUGGGAAGGUUUUAAUGGCUUAAUAGAAGCCCUAGUGAAUAAACUAUCAAUUUUAGGAGUAUCCAGGCUUAGGCUGUCAGACCUUGAGAUAGCUUGAUUAUUAACCGAUUUUCUCAGCCGU